rnacentral:rRNA from 1 species
GACGAACGCUGGCGGCGUGCCUAAUACAUGCAAGUCGAGCGAAUCAAAGGGAGCUUGCUCCCUGAGGUUAGCGGCGGACGGGUGAGUAACACGUGGGCAACCUGCCUAUAAGACUGGGAUAACUUCGGGAAACCGGAGCUAAUACCGGAUAAUUCAUAUCUACUCAUGUAGGUAUGCUGAAAGACGGUUUACGCUGUCACUUAUAGAUGGGCCCGCGGCGCAUUAGCUAGUUGGUGAGGUAACGGCUCACCAAGGCGACGAUGCGUAGCCGACCUGAGAGGGUGAUCGGCCACACUGGGACUGAGACACGGCCCAGACUCCUACGGGAGGCAG